rnacentral:rRNA from 1 species
UAAUACGGAAGGUGCGAGCGUUAAUCGGAAUUACUGGGCGUAAAGAGUACGUAGGCUGUUAGAUAAGUCGGAUGUGAAAUCCCCGGGCUCAACCUGGGAACUGCAUCCGAAACUAUUUAACUAGAGUAUGGGAGUGGUAAGUAGAAUUUCCGGUGUAGCGGUGAAAUGCGUAGAUAUCGGAAGGAAUACCAGUGGCGAAGGCGGCUUACUGGACCAAUACUGACGCUGAGGUACGAAAGCGUGGGGAGCAAACAGGAUUAGAUACCCUGGUAGUCCACGCCGUAAACGAUGAGAACUAGAUGUUGGGAGGAUUGGCCUUUCAGUGUCGCAGCUAACGCAUUAAGUUCUCCGCCUGGGGAGUACGACCGCAAGGUUG